CGCCGUUUCCUCCUGCAGAAGAUGAGGGAAUUUACCAAAAGGUCAGAGCAAAAGAUGGACAGCGCUCCAAAGCAAACAAACAUCGAGGAUGACGAUGACAGCGAAGACGAGCUGGAGACCAUUCAGAAAGAGCUGAAUGUGCUGCUGCUUAAAAAGGAGGAGCUGUCGAAAGAGGAAGAGACUGCCACACCCACAGAAAACGGAGUUCAUCAAGCAGACCCCAGUUUUUAUAAAAAUGAAACACCC